rnacentral:rRNA from 1 species
UGCCAAAGUUUGCAUGUGAUACCUUUUCGGAAAGCCCAAAGAGAGCCCUCCGACGAAAGAAGCAAGACAAUGGUAAGUACCCUUCUUUUUUUUACUCCAAAUUUUGACCUUUAGAUACUUUUCCGGGUCUUUUCGUGAUCCGUGCUAUAUUAAGAAACAAAAUUAUUUGUUCGGACGUUGUUUUCGCAUUUUUUUAAUGUAUCAAGCCUCAUUUAAACUAGAUGGAGUAUCCGUACGUAGCGGGUGGGUCCUGAAAAGUCUUCGUGUUUUUUUCAUCCCUUUUUGUUUUUUUUUUAGUUAAAACGUUUUGACUCCAUAACUUGUAAACAG